rnacentral:rRNA from 1 species
GAUGAACGCUGGCGGCGUGCUUAACACAUGCAAGUCGAACGAUGAAGCCCAGCUUGCUGGGUGGAUUAGUGGCGAACGGGUGAGUAACACGUGAGUAACCUGCCCUUAACUCUGGGAUAAGCCUGGGAAACUGGGUCUAAUACCGGAUAGGAGCGUCCACCGCAUGGUGGGUGUUGGAAAGAUUUAUCGGUUUUGGAUGGACUCGCGGCCUAUCAGCUUGUUGGUGAGGUAAUGGCUCACCAAGGCGACGACGGGUAGCCGGCCUGAGAGGGGAACCGGCCACACUGGGACUGAGACACGGCCCAGACUCCUACGGGAGGCAGCAGUGGGGAAUAUCGCACAAUGGGCGAAAGCCUGAUGCAGCGACGCCGCGUGAGGGAUGACGGCCUUCGGGUUGUAAACCUCUUUCAGUAGGGAAGAAGCGAAAGUGACGGUACCUGCAGAAGAAGCACCGGCUAACUACGUGCCAGCCGCCGCAGUAA